rnacentral:rRNA from 1 species
AUGGGAUACAUGGACCCAGCAUACAUUGCCUCAGGGGAGCUCACAACGCAGUAUGACGUCUACUCCUAUGGAGUAGUGUUGAUGCGAUUGCUAACUAAUAAGAGCCCCCUAGGCCUUCCACAUGUUGUGGAGGCAGCCAUUAGAGAAGGCACGUUGCUAGAUCUAAUUGAUACUUCUGCAAGGGAAUGGCCACCUGAGUGUGCUGAAGAGUUGGCAAGACUAGCACUGCGUUGUUGCCGGUUAGAACGAAAGGAGCGGCCUAAUCUUGCAAAGGAGGUCUGGGGUGUCUUGCAAGCUAUGAUGAAUAUUCAAGACCAGAAAUGUGGGCCACCAACGUUUUUCAUCUGUCCAAUGACACAGGUCCCUUAA